CGGACAAACAAACGACCUCUCCUUUCCCUCCUCACCAUUUGGUCCGACGUCUCAUUCUGACGUGUAAUCGACCCUUUGCCUCCUUUUAUCUUUAUCUUCUCUCUCCUCAUUCCUCUGUCUCUCUUCUUAACAUUAUAUAUCCACAUUUAUAUUUGUGUGUAAUCUCGAUUCAUGCACUCAAACCUUCUUACAGAUUCACCAUUUCUCAGGUGAUUUAUUGCAGGUGGUUCUGCACCACAAUAAAAUGGAAGUUACUGGGGGCUAAACUUGUCAAGUUCUAUGGCUUUGGCUGACAAUUGGGCAACGUGCGGGGAAAGAAACAAUUCAGGGAAAGUAGAAAGUGGCAUUACUUUGGGUAAAACAACUAAGAACAACCAACCAACAACUAGAAUGGAAUUUGAAUACGAUUGGACAAAACAUAGAAAAUCAUGUGC